CCUACGGGCGACAGCAGUAGGGAAUAUUGCUCAAUGGGCGAAACCCUGAAGCAGCAAAGUCGCGUGAAGGAUGACUGCCCUCUGAUUUUUAACUCUCUUUUUUAGAGAAGAUAAUGACGGUAUCUAUAGAAUAAUCACCGUCUAACACCGUGCCAGCAGCCGCGGUAAUAUGGCGGGUGCAAGCGUGACUCGGAGUCACGGGGCGUAAAGAGCGCGUAGACGGGUUAGCAAGUCAGAAGUGAAAUCAUAUGGCUUAACCAUAGAACUGCAUUUGAAACUGUUAUUCUAGAGUAUAGGUGAGGUAGGUGGAAUUCUUGGGGUAGGGGUAAAAUCCGUAGAGAUCAAGAGGAAUACUCAUUGCGAAGGCGACCUGCUAAAACAUAACUGACGCUGAUGCGCGAAAGCGUGGGGAGCAAACAGGAUUAGAUACCCGAGUAGUC
rnacentral:rRNA from 1 species